rnacentral:rRNA from 1 species
UACGUAGGGGGCAAGCGUUGUCCGGAUUUAUUGGGCGUAAAGAGCGUGUAGGCGGCUAUACAGGUCCGCUGUGAAAACUCGAGGCUCAACCUCGAGACGUCGGUGGAAACCGUAUGGCUAGAGUCCGGAAGAGGAGAGUGGAAUUCCUGGUGUAGCGGUGAAAUGCGCAGAUAUCAGAAGAACACCAGUGGCGAAGGCGGCUCACUGGCCCGGUACUGACGCUGAGGUGCGAAGCGUGGGAGCAA